UGGACCGCGGCCCGCCUCCUUUUUUCGGCCGCGGCCAAUCGGCUCUCCUCGCCUACGACCGCGGACGCCCGUGAUUGGCUCCGCGAACGCAGACCGCGGCGGCCCGCCUCCUCCUUACGACGCGCCUGCGGUUGGCCCAAAAGACGCAAUCGGCGAAAAGACCCACGCGCUCAAUCGACAAGCCGAAAAGGUAAAUAUUGUGUAUGAAAUUCGCCAAAAACGAUGCAAACCGAGUGUUGUUUUUCAAUUACCGAUUCGAGCUAACGCUAGCUAGGCUAGCUGGUGUGUGUGUGGAUAAGCCGUGUUGUGCGCGUUGCGCCGCGCUAAUAAUAAUUAGCCAUGUGCAGGCACGCACGUAAAGUUAACGUUCAAUGACUCCGUGUGCUAUACGUCUUGUAUUACUUGUAACUAGUCACAAAUUUAACCAAUAACUCAUUCAUUUCACUUGUGUUCAAUGCAUUUUUUGUUGUGACGUGAUCCUCCCUAGCAUGAUGCCCACACUGUAAAUGCUCCCUAUUUGGAUUACAAAAAAAAAAAAAAAAAAAAAAAAAAGAAAUACUGUACUACAUAGACGUCAUCAUUUUGUAAGUGGGCCAAUUUUGCAUUUUCCCCAAUAACUUCGGUUUUAUUUGGAAUUUGGGAAUUAGAUGAACUCAAGACACCCCUCUCAACAUUUUAGCAUCUCUGAACAUCAAGUCAUUUUUCUUUUUCUAAUUGCCAGCUAGGAAUGGAGGCAUCCUCUUCAAAAUCAACAAAAACGCAAUUUUAUUAUUACCAUCAUCUAGAAUUUUUCCUCCGUGUCAUGUCCUGCUUUUGUGUUGACACUUGCCUUUGUGUUUCUCAGUGUACAUCAAAAGCGAUGACCGGCCACCACGCUUUGCUGCCUAAACUGCACUUGAGAAGUACAUGUACAAACAAGUUAGGAAAAACCGCCUUGCCGUCACCGCAGCUCCAACAGGCCAGCAGAUCCCCGGCCAGCUCACGGUGACCUUUGGGAAAUACAAAGGCAAGACCUUCAUGUGGCUUACGGAGGAAGAUGUCGGCUAUGUCAAGUAGUGAGUAUAUAUAAGAAAUCGAUAAUAGGCAGUGGAUUGUGUGUCUUUGUUACCCAAAAUAAAAAAAUCGGUUUAAAACAACUACUGCAUGCUCUCUUAAAAAGUCUCCUCGAUGGCCACAGGAGGAGAGGCGACGACAGAAGGGAAGGUGCGACACCAAAACUGGGGAGUGGAGGCUGAAGGAGCAGCUUCUACGCUACGUGGAUAUGUUCCCUCCGGUGUCAUGCCACUUGGAGCAGAACAUCGACCGGGCCAUCUGCGGGCAUGGCCGCUUCCGGUCCUUCACGUUCGAGGAUAUGUGGCAGUGUUAUGACUUCUCCAAGCUCAUCCGUAACGAUCUCCAGGCCGAAAGCGCAGAAGAAUGGAAGAUGGCCCUGGAAGCCUUCUGGUUUGUGCGUCAGUGGCUACUGAUGACGGAGUAGGACAUCAAUGUCACGUUAAGAGAUUUCGAUUGUACAUCCUCACAAAGGAGGAGGAGCGAGCUAAAGGCAAAGUUGCACCAGCUACGCCCCUCACGUCAGCUUGUGCAUCAGCAUUAGCAGCAUUAUCAACAUGACCUGCUGUAGCAAAUACACCAUCAUCAGCAGCAGCAGUAGCAGCAGCACAACAACAAGCACCACCACCACAAGGUGAUGAUGAAGACUGGCAAUGUAAAAUAGUACGCGCCUGGGCCGCUUUGUGGCCAAUCCGCACAGGGUCACAAAAAAUAUUCCAAAAAAAAAAAAAAAAAAAAAAAAGGCCUACACGGUCAAGGCGUCCACGUCCAAAGGACUUUCUGGCAGGUCUUUUGAAAACUUUGUAAAUUUUAAGGAGGCAGUCAAUGACCUUAUAAAAUAAAAUACAUUGAUAUGUACUUCAUGUCUCAGCUACUUCUUUUUACACACACAAAUAUGCAGUAUGUUCGGCAUAGCAUAUAGUCCUGUAUAUUGUGCACUUUCCCAAUGAGUGCAGACAGAAAAUUAAAAACCUAGUCCUUAUUUCUCAACACUUCAAUAUCUGCAAAACACUUGCUUAUCAUUAAACUUAUUUAAGACUCAAUACAGGCUGCUUAACUUUUACUGUGUACUAUAGCUCCUGUAUUUAAAUACAAGAAAAAAACUGGAAUUUGAGUGUAAUAACAAAUACAUUUAAAGCAUACAGAGAUUGGGAAAAGUCCUAAUGCCCUUAAUUGAAAGUGGGGAAAAAAUAGGCCAAGACAACACAACAGCUAAAACACAGUAAUGAUGAAAUCUAUAAUGCUGCGCUUCGGACCACGACGUCACUUGAAGGAAACAACGUCAAACUUUGGUCCCGCCCUCCCGCAGCCUCUGAACAGAUGCUCAACCACCCUGCGGAAUGGAAAGAUGCCAAGACCACCCAGAGUUAACUUGUUACCUGUUGGGCAGAAUGACCUCGUGAAUGAAAAUUUAAAACCUAGUGACUUACUUCUAAUGGAAUACUAGUUUCUUAACACUUGUAUAUCUGAUUAACACUUGCAUAUUGCAGUUUGCUAUUGGCGUAGUUCAGGAGUCAGCUAUCAUUUUAUUUAUUUCAACAUCAUCCUUCGUACACUGCUUAGUUUAAAUUUAUUUUUAGGUAGUAGUAGUGUAUAUUAUUUAUUUAUGUAUUGACAUUAAUUUAUUGUGUGAUGCACUGAUAGGGUGUUGCUAUUUUUAAUGUCAUUGUACUAUUUGAAUGACAAAGCCUAUUCAAUUCUAACAUUCAAACAACCGUAUUCAACCGCUACCACAGAAAAGACAACACACACAAAUUGACAUAAAAUAUGAAUGAAUCUGCUCAUCUGUGAAUACGUAUUUUAUAUAUUCUGCGGGGAAAAGUUCACCUAACAAAGGCAUUUAGGAUUCUUUUACAUUGGCCAAAAACACACCUCCUUAAAAUAAAUUCCUAUAUUUAAUAUUUAAAAAGCUUUGAAAUGUCAUAAAUAUUCUUAAUUCCAGAAUAAAUAUGGUUCAAAACAUUAUUUGAAAGCAAUUUUUUUUUUAAUUUACGUAAAAAACGAACAACUUUUUGAUGUAUGUGCUUAAUAAGAACAAAUGGCAAUAUUUACUGAAGUAAGUGGAAUAAUCUCACAUUCAUCUGUUAAAUAGUCUUUAACGCGCAAAACAAGAUGGAGAAAAUGAUUUGACUAGACUAUGUGGGCCUAAAGUGCAGUAAG